GCCGGGUGUAGUGGCGCACGCCUGUAGUCCCAGCUACUCAGGAGAGGCUGAGGCAGGAGAAUCGCUUGAACCCAGGAGGCAGAGGUUGCGGUGAGCUGAGAUCGUGCCAUUGCACUCCAGCCUGGGCAAGAGUGAAAUUCCGUCUCGGAAAAAAAAAAAAAAAAUGGAAAUGGAACUCACAAGAAGGAACAGAGUCUUGCUCUUGUUGCCCAGGCUGGAGUGCAGUGGCGCGAUCUCGGCUCACUUCAACCUCUGCCUCACGGUUCAAGUGAUUCUCCUGCCUCAG
rnacentral:SRP_RNA from 1 species